rnacentral:rRNA from 1 species
UACGAAGGGGGCUAGCGUUGUUCGGAAUUACUGGGCGUAAAGGGCGCGUAGGCGGUUUGUCAAGUCAGGCGUGAAAUCUCCAGGCUCAACCUGGAAACUGCCAUUGAUACUAUUUGUCUUGAAUUCUGUUGAGGAGGGCGGAAUAUGUCAUGUAGCGGUGAAAUGCAUAGAUAUGACAUAGAACACCGAUAGCGAAGGCAGCUCUCUAAGCAGACAUUGACGCUGAGGCACGAAAGCGUGGGGAUCAAACAGG